rnacentral:lncRNA from 1 species
AACGAUGGCAAAAUAGGUGCCAGUUAUUGAAAUCUGUCGGUAAAGAUGUAACUUAAAUCAUUCCCUAAUCUAUGGUUCUAAAGGAUUAGUCUAAUAUAAUUAUAAAUAGAGGAUGACAAACAUUAGUAAUUAACUUAGCCCAUAGCUCAGAACAGUUGCGAAGCUUAAAUUACAGUUGUCCUUUUUCAUUAAACUCCAAUCUUUUCUUUACAUCUAAUUCCAUAAUGGAUUCUCUUUCUUCCAAUAGCUGUCUUGUCUUUAGUCUUAUUCAUCGGCAACACAGGCUGUAAGAGAGACGAAUUAUCAGACAACUAAGACUCGUCGAAUAGAAAUAUAAUCACAAAUGCAAACAACAUAACAUUAAUCUGCAAAUGGUAAAUAAUUGUUUUUUUAAGAUGGACACAAACAAAAACAAAGAAUGACUACUAUAAUAGGCAGAAAACAAGUAUAACUGAUUAUAAUUCAGGAUACAUCUUAGCUCGUAUAAGUCGAGUAAUAGUUAUAAAUGUUUACAGAAUAGAGUACAACAACAAUUACCCAAUAUAAUCCCACAAAGUGGGGUCUGGGGAACCGAAUAGAGUACACGUUCAGAAAAAUUUCAUAAUAGCCUGCCUGCCCUCUGAUAAAAUCGUAAAUCUUGAUUCUUGAACAAGAUAAUUAGGUUUUCUAGCACCAGAUGCUAGUAUAAUAAAAGCUAAAAGCAGGGAUUCCAUCCAAUUAAGAGGAAAUUAUCUCUAUCAGCCAAUGGCUAGAGAGGUAAAAUCGCUAGUAGAAACUAUGAAAAGCGUAAAUGGUACAAAGGUUAAAGGCAAAGCUUAGGAUUCAUCUUCAGCUGUUUCAGGACAAUCUCGUAAUAGCCCAUUACGUUGUUAGAAUUGAAUUGGAAAAUUUGUCAGAAAGCAUGACACAUAAUAGAAGAGAAAAUAUAUUAACAAAACAAGAAACAAGUAUGCUCUCUUUAUGCUGCAUACAGUGAACUUGGAUUGUCACCAAAAUUUACGGACAAUAGUGCUAUGUUCGCCAAAAAUUUGGAAAGCACACAAAAAAGACUUAUGCUAGUACACUUUAAUGACAUUCAAGACUGCUUUGCUGCUAAAAAUCAAAAACAGAAGUAAUUACUUUUAGCAAGCGUGAUUGUAAGUUAAAAGAGAAAAAUUCUCAAGAAAAGCCCAGAGAAGACCCCUAAUGCAUCAGUAGCUUCCUUCAAUAAUUUUCCCCCCACUAUCACUGUCAACUGCCUCUAAUGUUGGAUACCCACUAAUCCUGCCAUCUCCUCCACUCUCCACCUCUUCUAAACAUCUCAUUACCCCAUUCCACCCUUCACAUAUUCUUCCUGGACCUAAUUUGACCCGCUCACACAGCUCACAAGCGGUCCAUACCACUACCUUAUCCCAUGAAGCACACAAACGCCUGCUGUGAAAACUAGUGAUUUUUUCUCGUCAAACCUGGCACAUUCAGUCAUCAUCGGAAAUCAGCUAGAGCUACCACUGAAACUUUCCAGCACAACUUUAAAAAUCCCAGAUAUAAAGGCCUAUUAUCCAUGAAAACACAAACUACCAAUACAAUUAGAACUGUAACCUCAUUUCUGCAUAUCUUCCACCUCCAAACACCUCCCUUGUUAAAAAAAGUUAACUUGCUACUCUAUGCAUGUAUCUGCACUCUCUUCACAGAUUCCUUACAUCAUCAAUCAUCUGCAGAUCUGUCAAUUAGCUCCUGUGCCUCACACUAAAUCACUUACGAUCUCAAGUCAACCAGCAAGUGCCCCAUUAUAGAGCACAACGAAGAAUUACGCUACACCAUAACUAUCUGAAAACAUAAAAUUGGAAUAUAAACGCUAUCACCUUAACAGCAUGAUCACUGCUGGAGCUCCACAAGAAGAGGAAACAAACCCUAAGGUCCUUGUCAGCUAAGGUGUGUGCUAUAUGUUCUAGCAAAAACUAAUAUGGCUCGUGCCUUCUUAAAG